GACGAACGCUGGCGGCGUGCUUAACACAUGCAAGUCGAGCGGUAAGGCCCUUUCGGGGGUACACGAGCGGCGAACGGGUGAGUAACACGUGGGUGACCUGCCCUUAGCUCUGGGAUAAGCCUGGGAAACUGGGUCUAAUACCGGAUAUGACUCCAUAACGCAUGUUGUGGGGUGGAAAGCCUUGUGCGGCUAGGGAUGGGCCCGCGGCCUAUCAGCUUGUUGGUGGGGUGAUGGCCACCAAGGCGACGACGGGUAGCCGGCCUGAGAGGGCGACCGGCCACACUGGGGACUGAGACACGGCCCAGACCCCUACGGGAGGCAGCAGUGGGGAAUCUUGCGCAAUGGGCGAAAGCCUGACGCAGCGACGCCGCGUGGGGAUGAC
rnacentral:rRNA from 1 species